rnacentral:tRNA from 1 species
GGGCGAUUAGCUCAGUUGGUAGAGCAAUGUCCUUACACGACAAAGGUCGCAGGUUCGAGCCCUGCAUCGCCCACCA